rfam:TPA: Bos taurus chromosome 23, whole genome shotgun sequence.
CUCAAGGCUCUUUUAAGAGCCACCCACUUUGUCUCAAAGGAUCUGU